ensembl:snRNA U2 U2 spliceosomal RNA
AUCACGUCUUGGCCUUUUGGCUAAAAUCAAGUGUAGUAUCUGUUCUUAUCAGUUUAAUAUCUGAUAUGUUCUGUAUCCAAGGACAAUAUAUUAAAUGGAUUUUUGGAGCAGGGAAAUGGAAUAGGAGCUUGCUCUAUCCACUCCACACAUUGACCUGGUAUCGCAGUACCUUCAGGAACAGUGCACUCUCC